rnacentral:rRNA from 1 species
GACGAACGCUGGCGGCGUGCUUAACACAUGCAAGUCGAACGGAAAGGCCCUGCUUUUGUGGGGUGCUCGAGUGGCGAUCGGGUGAGUAACACGUGAGUAACCUGCCCUUGACUUUGGGAUAACUUCAGGAAACUGGGGCUAAUACCGGAUAGGAGCUCCUGCUGCAUGGUGGGGGUUGGAAAGUUUCGGCGGUUGGGGAUGGACUCGCGGCUUAUCAGCUUGUUGGUGGGGUAGUGGCUUACCAAGGCUUGACGGGUAGCCGGCCUGAGAGGGUGACCGGCCAAAUUGGGACUGAGAUACGGCCCAGACUCCUACGGGAGGCAGCAGUGGGGAAUAUUGCACAAUGGGCGGAAGCCUGAUGCAGCAACGCCGCGUGCGGGAUGACGGCCUUCGGGUUGUAAACCGCUUUCGCCUGUGACGAAGCGUGAGUGACGGUAAUGGGUAAAGAAGCACCGGCUAACUACGUG